AGAUGCACGUCCUCGUCGAGGCAUAUUUUUUGCUUUUUUAAAUUACGCUUGAAGUAUCGCAAAACACGUCAACUCUCUUGCACGUUUCUUCUCAGACUGCGACUGAAUUGUUAAUUUCUCAAUCGUUACGCAAGCCCAGCUUCUGCGCAUUGGACAAGCUGACUAGAAUUUUCUAGAAAUGGAACAGGAAACCAACAUCUGCGCAAUUGAACUACACUUCAGACCAUUCGGAAGUUAAUGAAAAUUCAACGAAAUAAUCAUUAAAUCAUGAAUAUAAACCGGAAAUUUUUAAUUUUAUUAAAUCUUUCUCUUACAAAUAUUUAUCGGAAUAACCAGCAAAAUUUAAUCUGUUCCUAUUAUUAGUUACUUGACUACACAAUGUAUAAAUGAUCAAGUUGGCAAACGUGUUAGUCGUGUAUCAUCAAUAAUGGAAAACUUAUAGAAAUACUUGCUUCCAACGUGGAAAUUUUCUGUUGAUUUUAAGAACAUGAUGUUGCAAAUGUUUCAUAUAUUAUUACAUGACUUUAUGCAAAAUAUUCUGUUUAUA